rnacentral:rRNA from 1 species
GACGAACGCUGGCGGCGUGCUUAACACAUGCAAGUCGAACGGAAAGGCCCUGCUUUUGUGGGGUGCUCGAGUGGCGAACGGGUGAGUAACACGUGAGUAACCUGCCCUUGACUUUGGGAUAACUUCAGGAAACUGGGGCUCAUACCGGAUAGGAGCUCCUGCUGCAUGGUGUGGGUUGGAAAGUUUCGGCGGUUGGGGAUGGACUCGCGGCUUAUCAGCUUGUUGGUGGGGUAGUGGCUUACCAAGGCUUUGACGGGUAGCCGGCCUGAGAGGGUUACCGGCCACAUUGGGACUGAGAUACGGCCCAGACGCCUACGGGAGGCAGCAGUGGGGAAUAUGGCACAAUGGGCGGAAGCCUGAUGCAGCAACGCCGCGUGCGGGAUGACGGCCUUCGGGUUGUAAACCGCUUUCGCAUGUGACGAAGCGUGAGUGACGGUAAUGGGUAAAGAAGCACCGGCUAACUACGUG